rnacentral:rRNA from 1 species
UAGGGAAUCUUCGGCAAUGGACGGAAGUCUGACCGAGCAACGCCGCGUGAGUGAAGAAGGUUUUCGGAUCGUAAAGCUCUGUUGUAAGAGAAGAACGAGUGUGAGAGUGGAAAGUUCACACUGUGACGGUAACUUACCAGAAAGGGACGGCUAACUACGUGCCAGCAGCCGCGGUAAUACGUAGGUCCCGAGCGUUAUCCGGAUUUAUUGGGCGUAAAGCGAGCGCAGGCGGUUAGAUAAGUCUGAAGUUAAAGGCUGUGGCUUAACCAUAGUACGCUUUGGAAACUGUUUAACUUGAGUGCAGAAGGGGAGAGUGGAAUUCCAUGUGUAGCGGCGAAAUGCGUAGAUAUAUGGAGGAACACCGGUGACGAAAGCGGCUCUCUGGUCUGUAACUGACGCUGAGGCUCGAAAGCGUGGGGAGCAAACAGGAUUAGAUACCCUGGUAGUCCACGCCGUAAACGAUGAGUGCUAGGUGUUGGGUCCUUUCCGGGACUCAGUGCCGCAGCUAACGCAUUAAGCACUCCGCCUGGGGAGUACGACCGCAAGGUUG